UUAUAAGAGACAGCAGCCGCCGCGGGAAUACGGAGGAUCCAAGCGUUAUCAGGAAUCAUUGGGUUUAAAGGGUCCGUAGGCGGUCUUGUAAGUCAGUGGUGAAAGCCCAUCGCUCAACGGUGGAACGGCCAUUGAUACUGCAGGACUUGAAUUAUUGGGAAGUAACUAGAAUAUGUAGUGUAGCGGUGAAAUGCUUAGAGAUUACAUGGAAUACCAAUUGCGAAGGCAGGUUACUACCAAUUGAUUGACGCUGAUGGACGAAAGCGUGGGUAGCGAACAGGAUUAGAUACCCCAGUAGUCCCUGUCUCUUAUAA
rnacentral:rRNA from 1 species